CCUACGGGAGGCAGCAGUGGGGAAUUUUGGACAAUGGGCGCAAGCCUGAUCCAGCAAUGCCGCGUGAGUGAAGAAGGCCUUCGGGUUGUAAAGCUCUUUUGUCAGGGAAGAAACGGUGGGGGCUAAUAUCUCCUACUAAUGACGGUACCUGAAGAAUAAGCACCGGCUAACUACGUGCCAGCAGCCGCGGUAAUACGUAGGGUGCAAGCGUUAAUCGGAAUUACUGGGCGUAAAGCGUGCGCAGGCGGUUUUGUAAGUCUGUCGUGAAAGCCCCGGGCUCAACCUGGGAAUUGCGAUGGAGACUGCAAGGCUUGAAUCUGGCAGAGGGGGGUAGAAUUCCACGUGUAGCAGUGAAAUGCGUAGAGAUGUGGAGGAACACCGAUGGCGAAGGCAGCCCCCUGGGUCAAGAUUGACGCUCAUGCACGAAAGCGUGGGGAGCAAACAGGAUUAGAUACCCUGGUAGUCCACGCCCUAAACGAUGUCUACUAGUUGUUCGGUUUUAAUUAACGUUGGUAACGCAGCUAACGCGUAGAAGUACGACCGCCGUGGGGUAGGUACGGUCGCGAGAAGUUAAAACGUUAAAGUUAGUAAGUUAGUACGGCGUGAGACGUAGCCGAACGGACGACGACGAGGGAGGAGG
rnacentral:rRNA from 1 species